GUUCCCUGCUUCGCGUUCUGUGACUCACACAGCUGUUGCAGCCGGGCAGCGGAAUGAGGGGUGCUUCGCGUACGCUACGGCAAUGCUAGAAAUUUGUGUCGUUGCUUGUAUUUGUUGAGGAGUGCCGGAACUUUUGUGUGCUGCAUGUGCGGAGAGGUCUUCAGAGUUCGCAGCAAAGCAAUCGGAAAAUUGUGAAACACCUGUCUCAUUUCAUGAGUGAAGACCUGACUUCGGCAUGUCACUACCAGGUGGAUACGAGACUAGAGAAUCCUCAUAUGAAGAAAAAGCACCCAGCACACACAUCACUCAUGGGGACCAAUCAAUGCGGACAUACAGUUCUAUUGAAGGCCUUGGAAAUGGCACCACGACAUCGAAUGCGAAGAUAUUUGAGCCCUCUGACCAGGCAUACUUUCAACAGAAGAUUGAGGUUCCAUACACAGGAGAGACAUCCUUCAGCUUGCGCAAGCUGUGGGCCUUCACGGGGCCAGGGUUCCUGAUGAGCAUUGCAUACCUGGACCCAGGCAACAUUGAGUCAGACCUGCAAUCUGGGGCCCUGGCUGAGUACAAGCUCAUGUGGGUGUUGCUGUCGGCUACUCUGCUGGGCCUGAUGAUGCAGCGUCUGAGUGCUCGGCUGGGUGUGGUGACAGGCUUGCAUCUGGCUGAAAUGUGCCGGCGGGGCUACCCUCGUUUUCCUCGUAUCCUGCUAUGGAUUAUGAUUGAAGUGGCUGUCGUUGGCUCAGACAUGCAAGAGGUCAUCGGCACUGCCAUCGCCAUUUUCCUCCUUUCAGGUGGACGGGUUCCACUGUAUGCGGGUGUGCUGAUAACAAUAAUAGACACGUUUACGUUCCUGCUGCUGGACAAGUACGGCCUGCGUAAACUUGAAGCUUUCUUCGGGUUCCUCAUCCUCGUCAUGGCAAUCACUUUCGGAUAUGAGUACGUGCGGGUGGCCCCUGACCAGGCGCGAGUGGUGGAGGGCCUGUUCGUUCCCUGGUGCUCACAUUGCGACAGCCGGGCCCUCUUGCAGGCGGUGGGCAUUGUGGGCGCUGUCAUCAUGCCGCAUAAUCUUUACCUCCACUCUGCACUUGUGAAGUCACGGGAUGUAGACCGUGCCGACAAGGUCCAAGUACGGGAAGCCAACAAGUACUUCUUUAUUGAGGCCUGCGUUGCACUCCUCGUCUCCUUCAUCAUCAACAUCUUCGUCAUGGGUGUCUUUGCCCAUGGACUCUUUGGCCGCACCAACCUUGACAUUAGGAAUUUAUGCAUGGGAACUGAGUUCCAGGAUGUCUUUGAUAACAACACGAAUUCUGUGGACGUGGACAUAUACAAGGGUGGUGUCUACCUGGGCUGUGCAUUUGGCAUGUUCCCCCUGUACGUCUGGGCCAUAGGCAUUCUGGCUGCUGGACAGAGUUCCACAAUGACUGGAACAUACUCAGGCCAGUUCAUCAUGGAGGGAUUCCUAAACCUGCCCAUCAGCCGGUGGAUGCGAGUGCUCAUCACUCGGCUCAUUGCCAUUGCACCAACCAUCUUGUGUGCUGUCUUUGGCAACAUUGAGCAGCUUUCUGGGAUGAAUGACCUGCUCAAUGCACUCAUGAGCCUGCAGCUGCCCUUCGCUCUCAUCCCCACCCUGACCUUCACGACGUCGGCAGCAUUCAUGGGCGAAUUCAAGAAUGGAACUUGGCCCGCCUUUUGGUUGUGUUUGGCUGUACUUCACUGCUGCAACUUCCUUUGAUUGGCCCACACCUCAAAGAGCGCAGUGACCGAAUGCUAUUUAAUGACUCAUCUCAAACAGACAUAUCAUCUCCUGAGUGAUAGCAUCCUCUAUCGACGCGUCCGUGAAUGGACAAAUUAGGUUGUUGAACUUGCAUUGAAGAGUGUUGGUGUUUCUCCAACAGCAAUGAUGUACUGCAUGGUUUCAUGCUGCCCCUUUUAUAUGAUCUGCCACUUGAAUCUAUUUGCACAAUUUUAUCGACGUGACUCGAAUCAUUGACGAGAGAAUAUUUAUUAGUAGCAGUGUUCCUAUGUAACUAAUACAGGAAUACUGUGGACAGUCAAUAAAGUAAAGUGUUCUCAUAAUAUGAAAAGGCUAUUUUGGCAGAAAGUUUUACAAUAUUAUAUGGUACUUACUAUUUUAGUACAGUUGUUGCUAGUUGGGAUGUUUAAUGAAGCAUGGAAUUCUGUAGAUGUUAUUUUUAAUAAAUUCAUGAUGUUGAUGUUUUUA
rnacentral:misc_RNA from 1 species